UACGUAGGGUGCGAGCGUUAAUCGGAAUUACUGGGCGUAAAGCGUGCGCAGGCGGUUCUGAAAGUCAGCUGUGAAAGCCCCGGGCUUAACCUGGGAAUGGCGGUUGAAACUACAGGACUAGAAUCUGGCAGAGGGGGGUGGAAUUCCUGGUGUAGCGGUGAAAUGCGCAGAUAUCAGGAAGAACACCUAUGGCGAAAGCAGCUCUCGUGGGACGGUACUGACGCUGAGACGCGAAAGCGUGGGGAGCGAACAGG
rnacentral:rRNA from 1 species